CUCCGUUGAAUAUAUUUAAAUUAAGAUUAGAAAACCGAAAUGCAUUGAGGAUUGGUUGGUUCUUUUAUGAUUGUAUAUUACAGAUGAUUACAAAUUGAUUCUUUCGAUUAUUUUUAUAUUUAAAAUUAAAUUUUCUACCUUUAAUAAUAUUAAAAUCAUUUCUAUGCUAUUUUGUUUAGCCUACUGAUGUUGUUGCUGGAUAAAAAAUUUGUAUAUGCUAUAUUAUAAAUUGAAGAGGAAAAUGAUCGCCAACUCUCCUUCUGAUAUCCGAUGGGAUGGGGCUGACAACGAAUCUGCACGCUGCUGGCCACCCUGGUCAGACUUGUGAUCGGAGUCAUUAGGAUCUGGAUUCGUUCCUGGACUCCGUAAAGAUUUGUGUUUUUAUUUAUUUAUUUAGUUUGAAAGAUUUUCUUUUUGGGCUUGAUUUAUUGAAUAGACAAACAUAUAAAGAGGGAAGAACAGAUGUUCUUCUGUAAUUGUCCUCCCUUCCCUCGGAUUAAGAUGGCCGGACCUCCGUUGCCAACGACCAUUUGGUAUGGACCGACAGUGACCCCACCGAGCCACCACGCUGGUUCUUCAUUUUUCAGUGACCACCCACCGUAAAUAAUAGAGAGAGGGAGAUUGAAGAUGGCAUCGUCGGUUCUCGAUAAUCUGGUGGUCCAUCCUCCCAAUCGCCGGCAUAAAGGGAUCUUAGAGAGACGGCGGCGUCUGCCAAUCCGAUUUUUUCCGACAGCCGCCGACCAAAAUUUUUUGAACAGGAGAUGAAAGAGAAUGGAUUACCAACAGUGAAGUUGGAACCCUCGAUUCCCCCUCCCUAAUUGGCGGCAUAAAGGGGACGAUCAUCCUUGGUGGAGUCGGCGGACCGUCGAUUCAGAUCUUCCGAUGGCCGCCGGUCGGGAUUUAGAGGGGAGGGGCGUCUGUUUUGGGCUCCUCCUUCUUCGUCGAUCACCCAUCAAAGCGACCGUCGCUGGCUCACCGGCGGUCGGGACGGUGGUCUCAAUCGGCCGCCGGUGGUUGAGGAUGGCCCAUGGCUCGCCGGUGGUGAAUAAGAGAUGGGAUCACCGG
rnacentral:lncRNA from 1 species